GCUGCUGUGGCUAAGUGGUAAAGCAUUCGACUUGUAUUCAGCCAAAAAAGCGAUCGAAAGAUCCCCAGUUCGAACCUGGGCAGCAGCU